rnacentral:rRNA from 1 species
GUUAAAAAGCUCGUAGUUUGAUAUCUGCCGGAAGUCCUUGGUCUGCUCUUCGAGCCAGAAUUUGAGUUGCUUCCGGCAUCCGUGUGAGAUUCGCAACUGUGCUUGAUUGCGUGGGGCGGAGCUCGCAUCUUUUACUUUGAGGAAAUUGGAGUGCUCUCAGCAGGCGUAAGCCUUGCAUAUGCUAGCAUGGGAUAAUUUAUUAAGGUUUGCUGUUCUAUCUCGGUGGCUCUGGGAACGUAAACAAUGAUUAAUAGGGACAGUUGGGGGCACUCGUAUUAACGCGUCAGAGGUGGAAUUCUUAGACUGCGUUACGACGAUCUACUGCGAAAGCAUUCGUCAAAGAUGUUUUCAUUGAUCAAGAACGAAAGUAUGGGGAUCGAAGAUGAUUAGAUACCGUCGUAGUCUAUACCAUAAACGAUGCCACCUAGGGAUUGGAGGGCUAUCUCUAUAGGCCUCCUCCAGCAUCUUUCGAGAAAAUCAAGUCUUUGGGUCCCGGGGGGAGUAUGGUCGCAAGGCUGAAACUUAAGGAAUUGAC